GUAUUUAAUCUGUCGCCACAUUAUAAUAAUCCUUUUUAUUUAGAAACAUUCUCGCAUAUUUGAAUAUUCGUAUACAUACAUACAUACAAACAAGCUCAUAGCGUCGAAACAAGCGGCACAUAGUGUAUAAAUGCCGCUACGGCAACAAGUGUUGUAUACGUUAGCCAAAUAACUGUUGUGAAAACUCCACAAAACAGUUAAGUGCACACAUAUGCAUAUAAAGUUAUGUCGUUAAAGCGGACAACAUCGCAAACUUCGGCAACAGCGUCGGCUUUGCAUACUUCCCGAUGGCGCUAUAAAAGGAUAUGUCGCGCUGAUAACGCAUUCAUUGUACGGACGGUUGGCAAAGUUAACGGUUCUCGUCUAAAGUUAGCCAACUCGACAGUGACUUUUCAGCAAACGCGUAUUGUAACGGUUUUUCGUUUGAAAAAAUAUCUCAAAAGUCAUACGUUUGAAAAUUGUGAAGUGACAUCAAUUUAAUUUAAAAAAAAGUCGAACGCCGGCACACGCUCGUAUUACAUUGCUUCAUUUUUGAACUUUUCCACCACACUCCACCACCAGCCGUUGCAAUCAUUUUCCGAGCACUUAAAAGUUGUAAGAGUUUAGAAAUCUAACACGUUCCCUAACGCCCGCCACUGCAGCGCUUGUCCAGCUUCUUAGCACAGGACGUAGCAGAGUCACCCACGCCGGGGUACUCAAAACCCCAUAAGAGCAACGAGACUGCUGAUUUUCGAUAACU